rnacentral:lncRNA from 1 species
CUCAUUUUCUCUUGCUGCCGCCAGGUAAGAAGUGCCCUUCACCUUCUGAGGCCUCCCCAGCCAUGUGGAACUGUCCUCUCAGAUCUACCAUGUGAGUGCACACAUCCUUCCAGUCAACCAGAGGCUAGAGAAUGCGGAGGAUUGGAGAGGAUCAUGGCGGACAGGAGGCAGGACUAGAUUGCAGCUCCAACUCGGAUGGACAGAGCAGCGUGUGGAGGCUUGCAUUGUGAAUUUUUGCUCCAGUUCAACUGCAGGAGUAAAUCAGGAAACCUGAGAGGACCCACAGACCCCCUGAAGGAAGCGUAUUACUCCUGCAGGACCUGGGAGACACCACAAAUACUGUGAGAGCCCAAACUGUGGAAAUGGGAAAGGGAGAUCAUCUACCCCCAAACACACACACCCCACUGGGGGAACUGAAGGCCUAGAUUACUGGAGAAGAUUUUGACCUUACCUGGAACUGAGUCAAUUUAGAGAGCUGAGCGAAAUACAGGGGUAGAGGAAGCAGCGGGAAAUGCCCUGGGAACUCACUAGGUCCCCAAGCAAGCCGUUUUUGCCUGGCCACACAGGGGUCCUUCUGCAGGGCAGCCAGAGGUGCUGGGAAAAGGCCACAGAAAGAAGGAAAUCUCCAGCUAAACGUGUAAAAAUUUGAACUGAUAGAGCAGCCUCCUGGCCAGAACUCGGGGGAGGAUGUGAGUCUGGUGUGCAGACUCCAUAGGUGAGGGAAGAAGGAAACCCAUAUUUGUUUUCAUAGCUGGGAGGUGGGUAGCCUGGGGCAAGUUCUCAGCCCUGCUCACCCACUGCCUGGAAACAGACUUAGUGCUGUUGGCAGGGGCAUGGUGGGAGUGAGAUUGGCCCUUCGGAUUACAUGGGAGCUUGGUGAGGCCUGUGACUGCCGGCUUUCCCCUACUGCCCUGACAGCCUGCAUGACAUAGUAGAGGCAGUCAUAAUCCUCCUAGGAACAUAACUUCAUUGACCUGGGGCCUUACCCCCAUCCCCACAACACAGGAAGAACCUCCCAAGGAGAGUCUGAGCUCAGACACGCCUAGACUUGACCCAACCCCAGUGGUCCUUCCCUACCUGCCCUGGUUACUGAAGACAAAGGGCAUCUACUCUUGGGAGUUCUAGGGCCCUGCCCACCACCUGUUCCUCCCCAUACUACCACAGCUGAUACUCUCUGGAAAGCGCCACUUCCUGGCAGGAGGCCAACCAGCACAAAAAUAGUGCAUUAAACUACUAAAGCUAAGAACACUCAGAGUCCUUUUCACCACUCUGCCACCUCCACUGGAACAGGUGCUGGCAUCCAUGGCUGAGAGACCCACAGACAGUUCACAUCACAGGACUCUGGGCAGACAACCCCCAGUACCAGCCUGGAGGCUGGUAGACUUGCUGGGUGGCACAAUCCAGAAGAGAGAAAACAAUCACUAUAGUUUAGCUCUCAGGAAGCCCCAUCCAUAGAAAAAGGGGGAGAGUACUACAUCAAGGGAACAGCCUGUGGGACAAAAGAAUCUGAACGACAGCCUUCAGCCCUAGACCUUCCCUCUGACAGAGCCUACCCAAAUGAGAAGGAACCAGAAAACUAACCCUGGUAAUAUGACAAAACAAGGUUCUUUAACACCCCCCAAAAUUCACACUACCUCAUCAGCAAUGGACCCAAACCAAGAAGAAAUCCCUGAUUUACCUGAAAAAGAAUUCAGGAGGUUAGUUAUUAAGCUAAUCAGGGAGGCACCAGAGAAAGGCAAAGCCCAAUACAAGGAAAUAAAAAAUUGAUACAAGAAGUGAAGGGAGAAAUAUUCAAGGAAAUAGAUAGCAUAAAUAGAAAACAAUCAAAUAUUCAGGAAACAAUGGACACAAUUAUAGCAAUGCAAAAUGCUCUGGAAAGUCUCAGCAAUAGAACUGAACAAGUAGAAGAAAGAAAUUUAGAGAGCUCAAACACAAAGUCUUCGAAUUAACCAAUCCAACAAAGACAAAGAGAAAAGAAUAAGAAAAUAUGAACAAAGCCUCCAAGAAGCCUAGGAUUAUGUUAAAUGACCAAACCUAAGAAUAACUGGUGCUCCUGAAAAAGACAAAUCUAAAAGUUUGGAAAAAAUAUUUGGGGGAACAAUCAAGGAAAACUUCCCCUGCCUUGCUAGAGACCUAGAUAUUCAAAUACAAGAAGCACAAGAACAACUGGGAAAUUCAUCGCAAAAAGAUCAUUGCCUAGACACAUUGUAAUCAGGUUAUCUAAAGUUAAGAUGAAGGAAAGAAUCUUAAGAACUUUGAGAAAAAAGCACCAGGUAACCUAUAAAGGAAAACCUAUCAGAUUAACACCAGAUUUCUCAGCAGAAACCCUGUAAGAUAGAAGGGAUUGGGGCCCUAUCUUCAGCCUUCUCAAAGAAAACAAUGAUCAGCCAAGAAUUUUGUAUCCAGUGAAAUUAAGCUUCAUAUAUGAAGGAAAGAUACAAUCUUUUUCAGACAAACAAACGCUGAGAGAAUUCGCCACUAUCAAGCCACAACUACAAAAACUGCUAAAAGGAGCUCUAAAUACUGAAACAAAUUUUGGAAGUACAUCAAAACAGAACCUAAGGCAUAAGUCUCACAGGACCUAUACAACAAAAGUACAAUUUAAAAAACAAAAACUAAAAACAAAAAACCAAGGUACACAGGCAACAAAUAGCACAAUGAAUGGAAUGGUACCUCAUAUCUCAGUAUUAACAUUGGAUGCAAAUGGCCUAAAUCCUCCACUUAAAAGAUACAGAAUUGCAGACAGAAUUCACCAACCAUCUGCUGCCUUCACACACUCACCUAACACAUAAGGACUUGCACAAAUUUAAGGUAAAGGUGGAAAAAGGCAUUUCAUGCAAAUGGACACCAAAAGUGAGCAGGAGUAGCUAUUCUUAUAUCAGGCAAAACAAACAUUAAAGCAACAGCAGUUAAAAAAGACAAAGAGGGACAUUAUAUAAUGAUAAAAGGCCUUAUCCAAAAGGAAGAUAUCACAAUCCUAAACAUAUAUGCACCUAACACUGGAGCUCCCAAAUUUAAGACAGUUACUAAUAGACCUAAGAAAUGAGAUACACAGCAACACAAUAAUAGUGGGGGACUUCAGUACUCCCCUGAUUGCAGCAGACAGGUCAUCAACACAGAAAGUCAACAAAGAAACAAUGGAUUUAAAAUACAUCCAGGAACAAAUGGAUUUAACAGAUACAUACAGAACAUUCCAUCCAACAACAACAGAGUAUACAUUCUAUUCAACAGUACAUGGAACUUUCUCCAAGAUAGACCACAUGAGGGACACACAACAAGCCUCAAUAAAUUUAAGAAAAUUGAAAUUGUAUCAGGUACUCUCUCAGACCACAGUGGAAUAAAACUGGAAAUCAACUCCAAAAGGAGCCUUUAAAAACAUGCAAAUACAUGGAAAUUAAAUAUCCUGCUCCUGAAUGAUCAUUGUGUCAAAAAUGAAAUCAACAUGGAAAUCAAAAAUUCUUCGAACUGAACGACAGUAGUGACACAACCUAUCAACACCUCUGUGACGCAGCAAAGGCAGUGCUAAGAGGAAAGUUCAUAGCCCUAAACGCCUACAUCCAAAGUCUGAAAGAGCAGAAACAGACAAUCUAAGGUCAUACCUCAAGGAACUAGAGAAACAAGAACAAACCAAACCCAAAACCAGCAGAAGAAAGGAAAUAACCAAGAUCAGAGCAGAACUAAAUGAAAUUGAAACAAACAAAAAAAUACAAAAGAUAAAUGAAACAGAAAGCUGGUUCUUUGAAAAGAUAAAUAAAAUUGAUAGACCAUUAGCAAGAUUAACCAAGAAAAGAAGGGAGAAAAUCCAAAUAAUCUCAAUGAAAAACAAAAUGGGAGAUAUUACAAUGGACACAAUAGAAAUACAAAAAAAUCAUUCAAGUCUACUAUGAACACCUUUACAUGCAUAAACUAGAAAAUCUAGAAGAGAUGAAUAAAUUCCUGGAAUGAUAAACUCUCCUAGCUUAAAUCAGGAAGAAUUAGAUACCCUGAACAGACCAAUAAUAAGCAGUGAUAUUAAAGUGAUAAUUACAAAGUUACCAACAAAAAAAGUCCAGGACCAGACAGAUUCACGGAAGAAUUCUACCAGACAUUCAAAGAAGAAUUGGUACCAAUCCUAUUGACACUAUUCCACAAGAUAGAGAAAGAGGAAACCCUUCCUAAAUCAUUCUAUGAAGCCAGUAGCACCCUAAUACCAAAACCAGGAAAGGACAUAAUGAAAAAAGAAAACUACAGACUAAUAUCUCUGAUGAACAACUCUUACCACUCCUCUUCAACAUAGUUCUAGAAGUCCUAGCCAGAGCAAUCAGACAAGAGAAAGAAAUAAACAGCAUCCAAAUCAGUAAAGAGGAAGUCAAACUGUCACUGUUUGCUGAUGAUAUGAUCCUUUACCUAGAAAACCCUAAAUACUCCUCCAGAAAGCUCCCAGAACUGAUACAAGAAUUCAGCAAAGUUUCUGGAUACAAAAUUAAUGUAUAAGAAUCAGUAGCUCUUCUAUACACUAACAGCGACCAACCUGAGAAUCAAAUCAAGAACUCAACCCCUUUUACAAUAGCUGCAAAUAAAAAUAAUACCAUACCAUACCAUACCAUACCAUACCAUACCAUAACAUACCAUACCAUACAAUACUUAGGAAUAUACCUACCCAAGAAGGUGAAAGACCUCUACAAGGAAAACUAUAAAACACUGCUGAAAGAAAUCAUAGAUAACACAAACAAAUGGAAACACAUCCCAUGAUCAUGGAUGGGUAGAAUCAAUAUUGCGAAAAUGACCAUACUGACAAAAGCAAUCUACAAAUUCAACACUAUUCCCGUCAAAAUACUACCAUCAUUCUUCACAGAAUUAGAAAAAAAAACCCCUAGAAAUUCAUAUGGACCCAAAAAAGAGUCUGCACAGUCAAAGCAAGACAAAGCAAAAAGAACAAUUCUGGAGGCACCACAUUACCUGAUUACAAACUAUACUAUAAGACCAUAGUCACCAAAACAGCAUGGUACUGGUAUAAAAAUAGGCACAUAGACCAAUGGAACAGAAUAGAGAACCCAGAAAGAAACCCAAAUACUUACAGCCAACUGAUCUUCAGCAAAGCAAACAAAAACAUAAAGUGGGGAAAAGACACUCUUUUCAACAAAUGGUGCUGGGAUAAUUGGCAAGCCACAUGUAGGAGAAUGAAACUGGAUCCUCAUCUCUCACAUUAUACAAAAAUCAACUCAAGAUGGAUGAAGGACUUUAAGACCUGAAACUAUAAAAAUUCUAGAAGAUAACAUUGGAAAAACCCUUCUAGACAUUGGCUUAGGCAAGGAUUUCAUGACCAAGAACCCAAAAGAUAAAGAUAAAAACAAAGAUAAAUUGCUGGGAUUUAAUUAAACUAAAGAGCUUUUGCAUGGCAAAAGGAACAGUCAGCAGAGUAAACAGACAACCCACAGAAUGGGAAAAAAAUCUCCACAAUCUAUACAUCUGACAAAGGAGUAGUAUCCAGAAUCUACAAUGUACUCAAACAAAUCAACAAGAAAAAAAUAAACAACCCCAUCAAAAAGUGGGCUAAGGAUAUGAAUAGACAGUUCUCAAAAGAAGAUAACUGAAUGGCCAACAAACAUGAAAAAAUGCUCAACAUCACUAAUGAUCAGAAAAAUGCAAAUCAAAAACCACAAUGCGAUACCACCUUACUCCUGCAAGAAUGGCCAUAAUAAUAAUAAUAAAAAAUAGAAGAUGUUGGCAUGGAUGUGAUGAACAGAGAACACUUCUACACUGCUGGUGGGAAUGUAAACUAGUACACCCACUAUGGAAAACAGUGUGGAGAUUCCUUAAAUAAUUAAAAGCAGAACCACUGUUUGAUCCAGCAAUCCCACUACUGGGUAUCUAUCCAGAGGAAAAGAAGUCAUUAUACAAAAAAGAUACUUGCACACUCAUGUUUAUAGCAGCACAAUUCAUAAUUGCAAAAACAUGGAACCAACCCAAAUGCCCA